AGAGUGAACGCUGGCGGCGUGCUUAACACAUGCAAGUCGAACGAGAACGGAUUAUAGCUUGCUAUAAUUGUCAGCUAAGUGGCGCACGGGUGAGUAAUAUAUAGAUAACCUGCCCUCAAGAAAGGAAUAACAGUUGGAAACGACUGCUAAUGCCCUAUAUGCCUUUAAUACAUAAGUAUGCAAGGGAAACGCUUUAGUGCUUGAGGAUGGGUCUGUAUGGUAUCAGCUUGUUGGUGAGGUAAUGGCUCACCAAGGCUAUGACGCCUAACUGGUUUGAGAGGAUGAUCAGUCACACUGGAACUGAGACACGGUCCAGACUCCUACGGGAGGCAGCAGUGGGGAAUAUUGCACAAUGGACGAAAGUCUGAUGCAGCAACGCCGCGUGGAGGAUGACACAUUUCGGUGCGUAAACUCCUUUUAUAUGGGAAGAUAAUGACGGUACCAUAUGAAUAAGCACCGGCUAACUCCGUGCCAGCAGCCGCGGUAAUACGGAGGGUGCAAGCGUUACUCGGAAUCACUGGGCGUAAAGAGCGUGUAGGCGGAUAUAUAAGUCAGAAGUGAAAUCCAAUAGCUUAACUAUUGAACUGCUUUUGAAACUGUAUAUCUAGAAUGUGGGAGAGGUAGAUGGAAUUUCUGGUGUAGGGGUAAAAUCCGUAGAGAUCAGAAGGAAUACCGAUUGCGAAGGCGAUCUACUGGAACAUUAUUGACGCUGAGACGCGAAAGCGUGGGGAGCAAACAGGAUUAGAUACCCUGGUAGUCCACGCCCUAAACGAUGCACACUAGUUGUUGUGAGGCUAGACCUUGCAGUAAUGCAGUUAACACAUUAAGUGUGCCGCCUGGGGAGUACGGUCGCAAGAUUAAAACUCAAAGGAAUAGACGGGGACCCGCACAAGCGGUGGAGCAUGUGGUUUAAUUCGACGAUACACGAAGAACCUUACCUGGACUUGACAUAGUAAGAACUUUCUAGAGAUAGAUUGGUGUCUGCUUGCAGAAACUUAUAUACAGGUGCUGCACGGCUGUCGUCAGCUCGUGUCGUGAGAUGUUGGGUUAAGUCCCGCAACGAGCGCAA
rnacentral:rRNA from 1 species